GAUCCUGGCUCAGAUUGAACGCUGGCGGCAUGCUUUACACAUGCAAGUCGAACGGUAACAGGGAGCUUGCUCCGCUGACGAGUGGCGAACGGGUGAGUAAUGCAUCGGAACGUACCCAGUCGGUGGGGGAUAACGUAGCGAAAGUUACGCUAAUACCGCAUACGUCCUGAGGGAGAAAGCGGGGGACCGUAAGGCCUCGCGCGAUUGGAGCGGCCGAUGUCGGAUUAGCUAGUUGGUAGGGUAAAGGCCUACCAAGGCGACGAUCCGUAGCGGGUCUGAGAGGAUGAUCCGCCACACUGGGACUGAGACACGGCCCAGACUCCUACGGGAGGCUAGCAGUGGGGAAUUUUGGACAAUGGGCGAAAGCCUGAUCCAGCCAUGCCGCGUGAGUGAAGAAGGCCUUCGGGUUGUAAAAGCUCUUUCAGCCGGAAAGAAAUCGCGCAGGUAUUAAUUACUUCUGCGUGGAUGACGGUACCGGAAGAAGAAGCACCGGCUAACUACGUGCCAGCAGCCGGCGGUAAUUA
rnacentral:rRNA from 1 species